rnacentral:rRNA from 1 species
GUAGGGGGCGAGCGUUGUCCGGAUUUAUUGGGCGUAAAGAGCUCGUAGGCGGUUUGGCAAGUCGGGUGUGAAAACUCCGGGCUCAACUCGGAGACGCCACUCGAUACUGCCAUGACUCGAGUCCGGUAGGGGAGUGCGGAAUUCCUGGUGUAGCGGUGAAAUGCGCAGAUAUCAGGAGGAACACCGGUGGCGAAGGCGGCACUCUGGGCCGGUACUGACGCUGAGGAGCGAAAGCGUGGGGAGCGAACAGGAUUAGAUACCCUGGUAGUCCACGCCGUAAACGUUGGGCACUAGGUGUGGGGCUCGAUCGACGGGCUCCGUGCCGUAGCUAACGCAUUAAGUGCCCCGCCUGGGAAGUACGGCCGCAAGGCUG